GUCACUGCUUGGACUUUUCACUAAGAUCAAGCCUAGUAUCUGUUCUUAAGAGUUUAAUAUCUGAUAUGUCCUUGAUGAGAGGACUUCAUAUUAAUACAUUGGGAAAAGUAUUU
rnacentral:snRNA from 1 species